rnacentral:rRNA from 1 species
GGUUAUACAUGUAGUAUUAUAAAAAAUUUUUGGUAAUAAUUAGUAGUAUAUAUAAAGAUUAAAAUAUAAUUUUAUUAGGUGGAAUUUUAAAAUUUAAUAAAUCUUUUUUUAGUUUACGAAAUUAAUAAAUUUUAAAAUUAAACUAGGAUUAGAUACCCUAUUAUUUUUAGUGUAAAUUAAAAGUACCAGAUUAGUAUUAGUUAUAGUCUUGAAAAUUAAAGAAAAUGGCGGUAUUUUAGUCUAUUCAGAGGAAUUUGCCCUGUAAUUGAUAGUCCACGAUUUAAUUUACUUAUUUUUAGUUUACAUAUCGCCGUAGGUUGAAUAUUUUUUUAGAACAUUAAUAUUCAAGAUUUUUUAAAAAUAGGAAGUCAGGUCAAGGUGUAGCUUAUAGGUAAGAAGAGGUGAGUUACAAUAAAUUUAUUUAAAUGGAUAAAAAUUUUGAAAAUUUUUUGAAGGUGGAUUUGAUAGUAAUUUUAUUUUAAAUUAUUAAAAUGAUUUUAGCUCUAAAAUAUGUACAUAU